rnacentral:lncRNA from 1 species
AAAUCAUUUCCAUAUUGUUUAAGAUGAAAAUUUUUACUUGGAAAUUUUACUUAAUGAUGUAAAUAUUCUAGAGUUAUGGCUUGGACUUUAUAAGUCAAAUCACCAAAAAUAAAGAAAAUGUGUAUCGGCUGAGUUACUUAAAAAUUUAAUACUGAAAAUUAUUUGAGAAAAUUUAACUGAUGCUGAUUUUUAUAUACUAAUAGUGUUCUCAUACUUUAGUGGAAUUAUAAAAUUAUUAUCUCUAUCCUGAGAUUGAGUGCAACCAUUUUAGUUGUAUCUGUGUUAUUAAGUCUGUCAAUUAAUAUAUCCAUUUUGUAAAAGGAGGGAAAUAUAAGCAAUUAAGAAAUAAUAUAGAUUAUAUUCUUUCCUCUUCUCUACCUAAGCAUUUUAAGCCUCAAACAAACCUGUUAGAAUUGUUCAGUAGCAGUUUUGAUGACUUAUUUGAUGAUGCACAAACAUGGAAAUUCAUUACAUUAUCUGGCCAUCAUAAUACAGAUGGCAGUCAAGCCCAUCUAUUGCAGAGCUCUGCUUUCUAUAAAAGACCUGAUAGUAAGUAUUUGAGACUUUGUGGGCCACAUACAUCUCUGUUGCAUAUUCUUCUUUAUUUGUUUGUGUGUUUAAUACUUUAAAACUGUAACAAAGAAAAUAAAAUUCUUUCUGAGCUCCUGUGCCAUACAAAAAUAGAUGGCGAGCUAGAUUUGGCUCACAGCUGAGCAGUAGGUUGCCAACCUCUGUUCUGGAACCCCCCUAUGUCCCAUCACAUAACCGUAGAUGUGUCUUAUUUUUCUUAUAAUUCUCUAUAUUUAUCCCUUUUCAUUAAUAACAACUACAACAAAAGUGCUUCUCUUUUUAUAUUUCGUAUAAGAAACGUCCUCAGCAUGUAUGUUUUUUACGAAAAAGUUUAGAUAUGGAGAAAUUAUUAUACUAUAAAGUUCAAAAUGUGAUUUGUCAAAUUUUUUGACAAAGCUGAAAAUAUGUUACAGUCAGCUCUUUUCUGGGUUCAUUUAACUACAAAUUAUUGAACCGAAAUUGAGUUAUAGCGUAAAUCACAUGGUAUUAAACUCUAAGGAAUGUUUUUCUUUUAAAACAGAAAUAUCUUCUUUUUACUUCUUUCUGCCUGCUGUAAUAUUUCCUUUGUGUGUGUGUGUGUCUGUGUGAUUUUGACUCUAGCAAAACAAAAUCAAUAGAUCUAUUAAGAAGUGAUUUAAUUUACAUGUUUAAGUUGGAAAAAAUAAAAUAAACAUA